UCACCAGGUUGAUUCUGCCUGACGUAGACGCUAUUCCCUAAGAUUAACCCAUGCAUGUUUUUGACAUUUGAAAAAUGGACUGCUCAGUAAUACUCACUUUAUUUUAUGUAAAUUUUUAAUUAACUACGUUAAAGUGUAGAUAAGAUGUUUACAGUAAGAGUGAGACCUAUCAGCUAGUUGUUAAGGUAAUGGCUUAACAAGGCUGUGACGGGUAACGGUAUUACUUUGUAAUAUUCCGGAGAAGGAGCCUGAGAGACGGCUACUAAGUCUAAGGAUUGCAGCAGGGGCGAAACUUGACCUAUGGAUUUUAUCUGAGGCAGUUAUCGGAAGUAAUAUUAUAUUGUUUCAUAUUUUAAAAGUAUAUGAGGUGAUUAAUUGGAGGGCAAAUCAAGUGCCAGCAGCCGCGGUAAUACUUGUUCCAAGAGUGUGUAUGAUGAUUGAUGCAGUUAAAAAGUCCGUAGUUUAUUUUUUUAAGAAGCAAUAUGAGGUGUACUGUAUAGUUGGGAGAAAGAUGAAAUGUGACGACCCUGAC
rnacentral:rRNA from 1 species